UAAAAAUCUGAGAGCGUGUUUUUAAAUUUUCUUUGCGUUAAUAUCAUUUGUAUUUCCUAAAUUUUCAUUCAAUAAAAGUUUAACAACUUUUGCGUAUGAUUUUAAGCAGUGGUGUAUAUAUUACUCCAUGUCGCCAGAUUAUAUUAUGUGAUCAUAGGGUCAAUUAAACACCCAAUGUAUGGACAAAGAUUUCGUAUUAUCUUUAUGUUUUUGAUCUAUUUUGGCGCUAAAAUAUUCAAAAACUGUGUGAAAAUAUUCAUCAAGCGAUAUUUGGAUGUGGCAUUGAGAAGAAGUCAUCAUAUUCUCAAAAUUUUGAAUUCUGAUUUUAGAAAUGUAACAUACGAUACACUAAUUUUUUUUAUGAAAACGUAUUUGCAGAGCAAAUGUUACCCCUUUUAUGAAAAUCUCCUAGUGUACAGAGAAUGAAAAUAUAAACAUUUCUUUUGCAGAAGUCAUUGGUUGGUCUGAAAUUUGACAAACGUGUCAAGAUGUAACAUUCGUGAUGUAACAUUCGUUACCGAGAAAUUAAUUAAAGGGAAUGAUAGAACAAUUUCCAGCGUAUUUUUGCUCUCUCUCUGCAUGAUGUGGUAUACGACAUGAACGUCUACUAUGAACAUUUGAGUUUGAAAGUCAAUACGUGUUAAACUUUGAGAAUUAGGAUUAAUUUUCUCUUACGAAAUGGCGCUUGUGAGAGUAGAAGUACAGAAUAACUACCAUGAAAAAAAAUGUAUUAAAACAUAAGAGCAACCAUGAAAAAAUGUUUUAGAAAUAAUAUUAUAUGCUCCCCUUGUGGCAAUACUGAAAAGGUAGAAUGUCUGUAUAGACAGUGAAAAUAAAGGUUUAACUACCGGUCAAAGGCUACCAUAAUGAUACAUGUAAGUUUUGUCUCUCAAAAUACUUAUAAGCAACUAGUCAUUUGAGUAAUUUUGUAUGACCUUUGACCUUGUGACUUGGAAUCCAAUGGGGGUCAUCUAUUCAUAAGGGGCACCAGUGUUUCAAGUUUGAUGUCUACCAAGGAAAGAUUUCUCAACGGACAAUAGCGUAUGUCCAGAGUAGUUUAACCGUUGUCCUUUUGACCUCAAAAUUAAUAGGGGACAUCGUUAAAUAUUCAUUCAUAACACCGCGUGGUGGAUUAUACUGACAGUUUCUAUGGAAAGGUAUUCCAAAAUAAGCAACAAAAACAUAAGAUUCGGUAUACGUUUAAUUAAAAUGUUGGGAAAUUAAACAUUUUCUUUAUAUUAUUAUUGUAAACAGAUUGUUAGAAAUGGGUACAUAUGAUUCUUUCCAUUUUUUGAAUAGAAAUGAUGUGUUUAUAGUAAUGAAAGGAAAAAUAAGAAACAUACGUUACUUUCAUUGUUUAUUAUAACAAAGAGCAAUCCAGGUUUCAAAACAUGUGUCUGUUAUUUCUAUAAGAAUAAUGAGCAUUUAAAUAGCGAAACAUCAAUCUAUCACUUUUGUUUUAAUCGCACAUUUAUUGCAAAUUAACAAAUUCAGAAGAAAAGACACAUUUGGUAAAAAAAUUUUGCUUGUCUACGUUAUAUUUCUAUUAAAAUUGGUAUUUCCAUUGAA